CCUACGGGAGGCAGCAGUGGGGAAUAUUGCACAAUGGGGGAAACCCUGAUGCAGCGACGCAGCGUGAGUGAAGCAGUAAUUCGGGGUGUAAAGCUCUAUCAGCAGGGAAGAAAAUGACGGUACCUGAGCAAGAAGCCCCGGCUAACUACGUUCCAGCAGCCGAGGUAAUACGUAGGGGGCAAGCGUUAUACGGAUUUACUGGGUGUAAAGGGAGCGUAGUGGGGAUGUCAAGUCUGGAGUGAAAGGCGUGGGCUCAACCCCCGGACUGCUAUGGAUACUGGACGUCUGGAGUGCAGGAGAGGUAAGCGGAAUUCGUGGUGUAGCGGUGAAAUGCUUAGAUAUUAGGAAGAACUCCGAUGGCGAAGGCAGCUUACUGGACUGGAACUGACGUUGAGGAUCGAAAGCGUGGGUAGCAAACAGGAUUAGAUACCCGUGUAGUC
rnacentral:rRNA from 1 species